CUUUCGCCCGGCGCGUCAGUUUGACGUCACGGACGCGCCGCACCGUACAGCCGAGCUGCAAAACCUUCGCGGCGGUCUACCUGGCACGCAGAUGCGAAUUUCCUCUUGGCGCUGCCGGAAGUCCGGGACACGUGAUCGGGUGACAGCGCACGCUUGGCUGCCUGGCCCCUGUUAGGUGCUGCGGCGCGGGAUGGCGGAGGCGCCUCCGGUCUCAGGUACUUUUAAACUCAGUACGGAUGCUGCUGAAUUCAUUCCUCAGGAAAGAAAAAAUUCUGGUCUAAAUUGUGGGACUCAAAGAAGACUAGACUCUAAUAGGAUUGGCAGAAGAAAUUACAGUACAUCACCUCCCUGUCACCUUUCCAGGCAGGUCCCUUAUGAUGACAUCUCUGCUGUUCAUCAGUACAGUUAUCCUUCUGGAAGCAAACCUAAGAGUCAACAGACUUUUUUCCAGUCUUCUCCUUCUAACAAGUCACUCAAGAACCAUGGCCUUCAGUGUCAACCUUGGCAAAAAUUGAGGAACGAAAAGCACCAUAUCAGAGUCAAGAAAGCACAAGGGCUCACUGACCACACCUCAGAUAUAGCUAGCUUAGAAAAUGUGGCAAGAUCAGAAAGUGGGACAAAUCCCAGAGAGCAUAGCCCUUCUGAGAGUGAGAAGGAAGUUGUUGGCGCCGAUCCCAGGGGGGCAAAACCCAAAAAAGCAGCACAGUUUGUAUACAGCUAUGGUAGAGGACCAAAAGUUAAGGGGAAACUCAAAUGUGAAUGGGGUAACAAAAUGACUCCAAAACCUGAGGAUGCGGGACCUGAAAAUAUCAAACCUGUGGGGGUUUCCCACCCUGACUCUUCAGAUGCAUCCUGUAGAAAAGGAGGACUGGAUGGGUAUGGGGCCAGACGAAAUGAGCAGAGAAGAUACCCACAGAAAAGGCCUCCUUGGGAAGUGGAGGGGGCCAGGCCCCGACCAGGCAGGAAUCUACCCAAACAGGAGGGCCAACGACAUACAAACACAGGCCCCAGAAACAACAUGGCUCCCAUUCCAAAGGAUAUCAAUGAAAGAUCAACAAAGUCUGCCUGUGACAGUGAGAAUUUGGCAGUCAUCAACAAGUCUUCCAGAAGGGUUGACCAAGAGAAGAACAUAAGGAGGCAGGAUCCUCCAAUGGUUUCUCCUUUCCCCCGAGGCAAACAGAACCAUGUGCUAAAGAACAUGGAAACACAUACAGGUUCUCUAAUUGAACAGCUAACUACAGAAAAAUAUGAAUGCAUGGUGUGCUGUGAGUUAGUUCGAGUCACAGCCCCAGUGUGGAGCUGUCAGAGUUGUUAUCAUGUGUUUCAUCUGAACUGUAUCAAGAAAUGGGCAAGGUCUCCAGCAUCUCAAGCAGAUGGCCAGAGUGGUUGGAGGUGCCCUGCCUGUCAGAAUGUUUCUGCACAUGUUCCUAAUACCUACACUUGUUUCUGUGGCAAGGUAAAGAAUCCUGAAUGGAGCAGAAAUGAAAUUCCACAUAGUUGUGGUGAGGUCUGUAGAAGGAAACAGCCUGGCCAGGAUUGCCCACAUUCCUGUAAUCUUCUCUGCCAUCCUGGACCGUGCCCACCCUGCCCUGCCUUUAUGACUAAAACAUGUGAAUGUGGACGAACCAGGCACACAGUUCGCUGUGGUCAGGCUGUCUCAGUCCACUGUUCUAACCCAUGUGAAAACGUUUUGAACUGUGGUCAGCACCACUGUGCUGAGCUGUGCCAUGGGGGUCAGUGCCAGCCUUGUCGGAUCAUACUGAACCAGGUAUGCUACUGUGGCAGCACCCCUCGAGAUGUUUUAUGUGGAACAGAUACAGGAAAGUCUGAUGGAUUCGGGGACUUCAGCUGUUUAAAGAUAUGUGGCAAGGACUUGAAAUGUGGGAACCAUACGUGUUCUCAAGUGUGCCACCCUCAACCCUGCCAGCCUUGCCCACGGCUCCCCUACCUGGUACGCUUUUGCCCUUGUGGCCAAACUCCUCUCAGCCAAUUGCUAGAACUUGGAAGUAGUGGUCGGAAAACAUGCAUGGAUCCUGUCCCUUCAUGCGGAAAAGUGUGUGGCAAGCCUCUGCCUUGUGGCUCCUCAGAUUUCAUUCAUACCUGUGAAAAGCUCUGCCAUGAAGGAGACUGUGGACCAUGCUCUCGAACGUCAGUUAUUUCCUGCAGAUGUUCUUUCAGAACAAAGGAGCUUCCAUGUACCAGUCUCAAAAGUGAAGCAGAUGCUACAUUUAUAUGUGACAAGCGGUGUAACAAGAAACGGUUGUGUGGACGGCAUAAAUGUAACGAGAUAUGCUGUGUGGAUAAGGAACACAAGUGUCCUUUGAUUUGUGGGAGGAAACUCCGUUGUGGCCUUCAUAGGUGCGAAGAACCUUGUCAUCGAGGGAACUGCCAGACGUGCUGGCAAGCCAGUUUUGAUGAAUUAACUUGCCACUGUGGCGCAUCAGUGAUCUACCCUCCAGUUCCCUGUGGCACUAGGCCUCCCGAGUGUACCCAAACCUGUGCCAGAGUCCAUGAAUGUGACCAUCCAGUAUAUCAUUCUUGUCAUAGUGAGGAAAAAUGUCCCCCUUGUACUUUCCUGACUCAGAAGUGGUGCAUGGGCAAGCAUGAGGAUUCUUAUCUUGAUGGACACAUUUUUCUCCACUUAUUUCCUUUACGAAGCAACAUCCCCUGUCACCUGGUUGAUAUCUCUUGCGGAUUACCCUGCAGUGCCACGCUACCAUGCGGGAUGCACAAGUGUCAAAGACUGUGUCACAAAGGAGAAUGCCUUGUGGAUGAGGCCUGCAAGCAGCCCUGCAGCACCCCCAGAGCUGACUGUGGCCACCCAUGUAUGGCACCCUGCCACCUCAGCUCACCCUGCCCAGUGACUGCUUGUAAAGCCAAGGUAGAGCUACAGUGUGAAUGUGGACGAAGAAAAGAAAUGGUGAUUUGCUCUGAAGCAUCCAGUACUUAUCAGAGAAUAGCUGCUCUUUCUAUGGCCUCUAAAAUAACAGACAUGCAGCUUGGUGAUUCAGUGGAGAUCAGCAAGUUAAUUACUAAAAAAGAAGUUCAACAAGCCAGGCUGGAGUGUGAUGAAGAGUGUUCAGCCUUGGAAAGGAAAAGGAGGUUGGCAGAGGCAUUUGAUAUCAGUGAUGAUUCUGAUCCUUUCAAUGUACGUUCAGCUGGGUCAAAAUUCAGUGACAGUUUGAAAGAUGAUGCCAGAAAGGACUUAAAGUUUGUCAGUGACGUUGAGAAGGAAAUGGAAACCCUCGUGGAGGCUGUGAAUAAGGGAAAGAACAGUAAGAAAAGCCACUGCUUCCCUCCCAUGAACAGAGACCAUCGCCGAAUCAUCCAUGACCUGGCCCAAGUUUAUGGCCUGGAGAGUGUGAGCUAUGACAGUGAACCAAAGCGCAAUGUUGUGGUCACUGCAGUGAGCCCAAUGGAUACUGAAAGAAUACUGGCAUGCCUUGUGAACUGUAUUUUCCCAUCAGAAGAAACUGAGGCAGUAGUGUGAGCCUGAAGGGGACAGGGAGUACCUAGAAUCAUCAUCAGAACCUGAGGGAUUAGGAAGAACUUCCCAAUGAAGAACAGUGAAGUGUGACAUAGGGAAGUCCAUUUGUCCUCCCACCACGCUGACAGCUGUGCUUGAAAGGGAAGUGCAGACACGGCCUCCACCACCAAUUCCUCAUCACAGACAUCAGGCAGACAAGAAUCCUGGGAGCAGUAAUUUACAGAAGAUAACUAAGGAGCCAAUAAUUGACUACUUUGAUGUCCAGGACUGAGAUCAAGAUGCACUUAGAUAAAAGAAUGGUUAGGUGUAGUGGAGACUCAUUUGCCAGCAGAUAAAUCAUGCUUGUUCCUCACUGCCUAGCAGAAUCAUAGCUGUCUUGUACUGAUACAUCCAAAGCAUGAGUGUGUCAGAAAUCCCCUUGUUUAUUCCGGUCUAUAUAAAGUGUUCCACUGUGGCCGUAUCUCUGUAUGAUCACGAGGUUCCCAGGCUUCUCAUACUAUCACUGUGAUUGCUUUGACUCUUGGGGGAAUAUUGAACUUUAUUUGGACAUACCAGAAUUUUAGCCCAAAACUGACUUUGUGUCACUUAGUCAUAGUCAUAGUCUCCACUGACACAAGCAAAUCUCUCAGUCUAAGAUAAUGAACACUGAAUUGAAACACCAUACAUAGAAUCACACAUGUCCUUUAAACCCAGCCAUCUUGUCUGUCUUUUGCCAAAAGCUCCCAUAUGCCUGCCUACCUGAACUUCUUUUUACUUUUCCCAAUACUGUCAGUUCUAGACAUAGGAGAGGGUUAGGUUGCUUUACAGAAUUCCAUUUUCUCAAGUCCCUGGCACCUGUCGUACCACAUGACUGAGCCUGUCCAGUGACAGUUUAGCAACCUCCUAUAAUGGUAGAGGAUGUAGAUCAAGCUUUUCUGCCAGGUUCACACUGUGGCCUCUGUGAAAUGACCAGUGUAGCCCUAACUCCUCUCUGGUUGAUAAAGAGUCUCACAUA